rnacentral:rRNA from 1 species
UGGACGGGGUGCAGCAGGCGCGAAAUCUCCUCAAUGCACUCAAGUGCGAAGGGGUUACCUCGAGUGCUAUCUGAAGAAGGUGGCUUUUACUUAGUUUAACAAGCUUAGUGAAUAAGAGGGGGGCAAGACUGGUGUCAGCCGCCGCGGUAACACCAGCCCCUCGAGUGGUGGGGAUGAUUAUUUGGCCUAAAGCGUCCGUAGCCGGCCCUGUAAGUCCCCCGUUAAAUCCAGCGUCUCAAGCGUUGGACUGCGGGAGAUACUGCAAGGCUAGAGGGUGGGAGAGGUAAGCGGUAUUCUGGGGGUAGGGGCGAAAUCCUUUGAUCCCCGGAGGACCACCAGUGGCGAAGGCUGCUUACUAGAACACGCCUGACGGUCAGGGACGAAAGCUGGGGUAGCGAACCGGAUUAGAUACCCGGGUAGUCCCAGCCGUAAACGAUGCAUGCUAGGUGUUGGGUUGGUCACGAACCACCUCAGUGCCGCAGGGAAGCCGAUAAGCAUGCCGCCUGGGGAGUACGGCCGCAAGGCUGAAACUUAAAGGAAUUGGCGGGGGAGCACCACCAGGCGUGAAGCCUGCGGUUUAAUUGGAGUCAACGCCGGGAACCUUACCGGAAGCGACAGCAGAGUGAAGGCCAGGUUGAAGACUUUGCCAGACAAGCUGAGAGGAGGUGCAUGGCCGUCGCCAGUUCGUGCCGUGAGGUGUUCUCUUAAGUGAGAUAACGAACGAGACCCGUGCCACAUGUUGCUAACAGAUCCUAUAGGGAUGCUGAGCACUCUUGUGGGACCGCAGCCGAUAAGGCUGAGGAAGGUACGGGCAACGGCAGGUCAGUAUGCCCCGAAUCUUCCGGGCCACACGCGGGCUGCAAUGGUACGGACAGAGGGCUGCCACCCCGAGAGGGGGAGCCAAUCCCUAAACCGUAUCUCAGUUGGGAUCGAGGGCUGCAACCCGCCCUCGUGAACAUGGAAUGCCUAGUAAUCGCCAGUCAUCAUCUGGCGGUGAAUACGUCCCUGCUCCUUGCAGGAAUUCGCCGA